AUCAAUUGAUACUCCCCUAGUAGCGGCGAGCGAACGGGGACCAGCCGAGCCGUGAGUGUGAAUAGAACCUGUUGGGAAGCAGGACCAUAGAGGGUGACAGUCCCGUAUAUGAAGCAUGAUCGGACGUAUUAAGUAGGGCGGAACACGUGAAAUUCUGUCUGAAGAUCGGAGGACCACCUUCGAAGGCUAAGUACUCCUUGCUGACCGAUAGUGAACCAGUACCGUGAGGGAAAGGUGAAAAGCACCCCGACGAGGGGAGUGAAACAGUACCUGAAACCGAACGCCUACAAUCAGUUGGAGGCCCCUUGAGGGCUGACAGCGUACCUUUUGUAUAAUGGGUCAUCGACUUGGUCUUACGAGCAAGCUUAAGCCGUUAGGUGUAGGCGCAGCGAAAGCGAGUCUUAAUAGGGCGCAUGAGUUUGUGGGAUCAGACCCGAAACCGAGUGAUCUAGGCAUGACCAGGAUGAAGGUGCGGUAACACGCACUGGAGGUCCGAACCCACACCUGUUGAAAAAGGUCGGGAUGAGUUGUGCCUAGGGGUGAAAGGCCAAUCAAACUCGGAGAUAGCUGGU
rnacentral:rRNA from 1 species